GACGAACCGUGCAAACGUUGUUCGGAAUCACUGGGCUUAAAGGGCGCGUAGGCGGGGGACCAAGUCCGGGGUGAAAUCUUUCGGCUCAACCGGAAAACUGCCUUGGAUACUGGUCUUCUUGAGGGAGGUAGGGGCAGGUGGAACUUCCGGUGGAGCGGUGAAAUGCGUUGAUAUCGGAAGGAACGCCGGUGGCGAAAGCGACCUGCUGGAUCUCUUCUGACGCUGAUGCGCGAAAGCUAGGGGAGCGAACGGG
rnacentral:rRNA from 1 species